UACGUAGGGGCCGAGCGUUGUCCGGAGUUAUUGGGCGUAAAGCGCGCGCAGGCGGCUUCGCGCGUCCGACGUGAAAGCCCCCGGCUUAACCGGGGAGGGUCGUUGGGUACGGCGGAGCUUGAGGGCGGGAGAGGGUGGUGGAAUUCCCGGUGUAGUGGUGAAAUGCGUAGAGAUCGGGAGGAACACCUGUGGCGAAGGCGGCCACCUGGGCCCGACC
rnacentral:rRNA from 1 species